UAGCGACAGGCUUAACACAUGCAAGUCGAGGGGUAACAGGGUAGCAAUACCGCUGACGACCGGCGCACGGGUGAGUAACGCGUAUGCAACCUGCCUAUAACUGGGGAAUAGCUCCCUGAAAGGGGAAUUAACACCGCAUAACACUAUUGAUUCGCAUGGAUUAGUAGUUAAAUGUAGCGAUACAGGUUAUAGAUGGGCAUGCGUGACAUUAGCUAGUUGGUGAGGUAACGGCUCACCAAGGCUACGAUGUCUAGGGGUUCUGAGAGGAAGGUCCCCCACACUGGUACUGAGACACGGACCAGACUCCUACGGGAGGCAGCAGUGAGGAAUAUUGGUCAAUGGGCGCAAGCCUGAACCAGCCAUGUCGCGUGCAGGAAGACUGCCCCCUAUGGGUUGUAAACUGCUUUUAUAGUAGAAGAAACACAUCUACGUGUAGAUGUCUGCCAGUAUACUAUGAAUAAGCAUCGGCUAACUCCGUGCCAGCAGCAGC
rnacentral:rRNA from 1 species